AACGUAGGAGACAAACGUUAUCCGGAGUUACUGGGCGUAAAGGGCGUGUAGGUGGUUGUGUAAGUCUGGCGUGAAAUUUUUCGGCUUAACCGGGAAAGGUCGUCGGAUACUGCAGAACUAGAGGACGGUAGAGGCGUGUGGAAUUCCGGGUGUAGUGGUGAAAUGCGUAGAGAUCCGGAGGAACACCAGUGGCGAAGGCGACACGCUGGGCCGUACCUGACACUGAUGCGCGACAGCAUGGGGAGCAAACAGG
rnacentral:rRNA from 1 species